GGGCUAGUACUGGUUUCGACGGGGAUGUUGAAUUUGUGGCAGCCAUUCAUGGACUAGGACCAUGUAAAAACUUAGAAACUAAAAUUAAACGCUGAAGACAAUUUAGCUUUAGCUGCCUAGUUGCAGCUUGUCGGACUUAGCCGUCCCGCCAGCUAAGACCCCGGCAUCAAACCGGUGGGGAACACUUAGGAGUAAGCUUUGCCUCCUAAGUAGCACGAUGAAGCUACCAACGCCGGAAACCUGUCAGUAGGUGUCCGGUUGAGGGAAUGAUAAAUUACUGACUGUAAUGGGAGAUACCGCAAUGGAUAUGUUUUCGGACAGGGGUUCGAUUCCCCUCUGGUCCAUGC
rnacentral:tmRNA from 1 species